rnacentral:rRNA from 1 species
GUGCCAGCCGCCGCGGUAAUACAGAGGUGGCAAGCGUUGUUCGGAAUUACUGGGCGUAAAGGGCGCGUAGGCGGCCUCUUUAGUCAGACGUGAAAUCCCCCGGCUUAACCUGGGAACUGCGUCUGAUACUGGGAGGCUUGAGUUCGGGAGAGGGAUGUAGAAUUCCAGGUGUAGCGGUGAAAUGCGUAGAUAUCUGGAGGAAUACCGGUGGCGAAGGCGGCAUCCUGGACCGAAACUGACGCUGAGGCGCGAAAGCUAGGGGAGCAAACGGGAUUAGAUACCCCGGUAGUCCUAGCCCUAAACGAUGAAUGCUUGGUGUGGCGGGUAUCGAUCCCUGCCGUGCCGAAGCUAACGCAUUAAGCAUUCCGCCUGGGGAGUACGGUCGCAAGGCUGAAACUCAAAUGAAUUGACGG